CUAUAGCCAGUUAAGCCGACUGCGUUCCUUUCCUCAUGGUGGCCCAGUGUGCAGUGGCUGCAGACAGCAGCCUCCUUGGGAGUGGAGUAACCUGUUGCUCAUGCAGGUGGCCCUAAGGGACCUUGAGGACCGUU
ensembl:snoRNA SNORA70 Small nucleolar RNA SNORA70